UCCGGUUGAUCCUGCCAGAGGCCGCUGCUAUCCGGCUGGGACUAAGCCAUGCUAGUCUAGGGGCUUGUACUCCUUCGGGGGUGCAAGCACCGGCGGACGGCUCAGUAACACGUGGACAACCUGCCCUCGGGUGGGGGAUAACCCCGGGAAACUGGGGCUAAUCCCCCAUAGGUGAUGGGUGCUGGAAUGCCCCAUCUCCGAAAGCGCUUAGCGCCCGAGGAUGGGUCUGCGGCGGAUUAGGUAGUUGGUGGGGUAACGGCCCACCAAGCCUAAGAUCCGUACGGGCUGUGGGAGCAGGAGCCCGGAGAUGGACCCUGAGACAAGGGUCCAGGCCCUACGGGGCGCAGCAGGCGCGAAACCUCCGCAAUGCGGGAAACCGCGACGGGGUUAGCCGGAGUGCCCGUGCAUUGCACGGGCUGUCGGGGUGCCUAAACAGCACCCCAUAGCAAGGGCCGGGCAAGGCCGGUGGCAGCCGCCGCGGUAAGACCGGCGGCCCGAGUGGCGGCCACUCUUAUUGGGCCUAAAGCGUCCGUAGCCGGCCCAGUAAGUCCCCCGGGAAAUCUGGUCGCUUAACGAUCAGACUUCCGGGGGAUACUGCUGGG
rnacentral:rRNA from 1 species